rnacentral:rRNA from 1 species
UAGUCAUAUGCUUGUCUCAAAGAUUAAGCCAUGCAUGUCUAAGUAUAAGCAAAUUGUACAGUGAAACUGCGAAUGGCUCAUUAAAUCAGUUAUAGUUUAUUUGAUGGUUACUCCCACAUGGAUAACUGUGGUAAUUCUAGAGCUAAUACAUGCAAUAAAAGCCCUGACUUCUGGAACGGGUGUAUUUAUUAGAUUCAAAGCCAAUGGCCUUCGGGUCUUGUGGUGAUUCAUAAUAACUUGUCGAAUCGCAUGCCCUUGUGGCGGCGAUGCUUCAUUC